rnacentral:sRNA from 1 species
ACAACAGAAGUUGUGAAACUUCUUAUAGAAUAGUUUAGUUAAGUCUAGUUUAGUUUUUGUGUUGUGAUACUCCAACCAUUAGAGAAUGGGUGGAGUAUCUUUUUU